rnacentral:rRNA from 1 species
GAUGAACGCUAGCGACAGGCCUAACACAUGCAAGUCGAGGGGCAGCACAAGGAGCAAUCUGAGGUGGCGACCGGCGCACGGGUGAGUAACACGUAUGCAACCUGCCUUCAACAAGGGGAUAACCCGUUGAAAGACGGACUAAUACCCUAUAACACAGGGGUCCCGCAUGGGAAUAUUUGUUAAAGGACAACCGGUUGAAGAUGGGCAUGCGUUCCAUUAGCUAGUUGGCGGGGUAACGGCCCACCAAGGCAACGAUGGAUAGGGGAACUGAGAGGUUUAUCCCCCACACUGGUACUGAGACACGGACCAGACUCCUACGGGAGGCAGCAGUGAGGAAUAUUGGUCAAUGGACGCAAGUCUGAACCAGCCACGUCGCGUGAAGGAAGACGGCCCUA